UUAUUUCAUCUCAUUUCAUCUCAUCUCAUUUUCCCAGGUAGCUGGGACCCCAGGUGCGCACCACCACACCUGGUUAAUAUUUUAUUAUUUGCAGAGAUGGAGUCUUGCUAUUCUGCCCAGGCUGGUCUCAAACUCCUGGGCUCAAGCAAUCAGACAAGGUCUCACUAUGUUGCCCAGGCUGGUCAACUCCUGGACUCAAAUGAUUCUCCAAACUUGGCCUCUCAAAAUGUUGGGAUUACAGGUAUGAGCCACCAUGCUUGGCCUAAAAAUAGUAUCAGAGGAGGGCAGGGCAAUGCAGGACUGGGCCAUGGCAGUGCCUGGUCAACUCCGGGGCAGGG
rnacentral:lncRNA from 1 species